CUACGUGCCAGCAGCCGCGGUAAUACGGAAGGUCCGGGCGUUAUCCGGAUUUAUUGGGUUUAAAGGGAGCGUAGGCCGGAGAUUAAGUGUGUUGUGAAAUGUAGACGCUCAACGUCUGACUUGCAGCGCAUACUGGUUUCCUUGAGUACGCACAACGUUGGCGGAAUUCGUCGUGUAGCGGUGAAAUGCUUAGAUAUGACGAAGAACUCCGAUUGCGAAGGCAGCUGACGGGAGCGCAACUGACGCUUAAGCUCGAAGGUGCGGGUAUCGAACAGGAUUAGAUACCCUGGUAGUCCGCACAGUAAACGAUGGAUGCCCGCUGUUGGUACCUGGUAUCAGCGGCUAAGCGAAAGCAUUAAGCAUCCCACCUGGGGAGUACGCCGGCAACGGUGAAACUCAAAGGAAUUGACGGGGGCCCGCACAAGCGGAGGAACAUGUGGUUU
rnacentral:rRNA from 1 species